UACGUAGGGUGCGAGCGUUGUCCGGAAUUACUGGGCGUAAAGAGCUCGUAGGCGGUCUGUCACGUCGGCUGUGAAAUCCCAAGGCUCAACCUCGGGUCUGCAGUCGAUACGGGCAAACUAGAGUAUUGCAGGGGAGACUGGAAUUCCUGGUGUAGCGGUGAAAUGCGCAGAUAUCAGGAGGAACACCGGUGGCGAAGGCGGGUCUCUGGGCAAUAACUGACGCUGAGGAGCGAAAGCGUGGGGAGCGAACAGG
rnacentral:rRNA from 1 species